rnacentral:lncRNA from 1 species
CGGGACCGGCCCUCUCCACUAGCUCGGCUCCCGUGCUGGUGCCACCAGGCUCCACGCUUUGCAUUUUGGCUACUGCUCGCUCGACCAGCGCGGCGGUGGAAGGCUCGGGGUCUCCAAGGCCAGGGGGCCCGGUGCUGUCAGUACUGCUGUUAUUGCCGCUGGGCGCUGCCGAGCUGCUCUGUGCUGGCUGCAGGUUUCUCGGCGUGUCUGGGAUUGUGCUACUGCUGCCUGCUGGGACGCACUGCUGAUGUAAGGCACUGUAUGGCGGCGGGGGGGUCGGCGGUCUGUUCACCACUUCCUCGUAGGGAGGUAGUAAAUAAUUUGGCAGAAACCGGAAAUAAAACGGCAGGGCUGAAUAGUUGUGGGCUUCCCGGUAAGCAAUCAAGUUGAUCUCAUGCUGCCGCUGCUGGGCCUGC